CGUGUAGGCGGGAAGUUAAGUCUAUCUUAAAAGUGCGGGGCUCAACCCCCGUGAGGGGAUAGAAACUGACUUUCUUGAGUGUCGGAGAGGAAAGUGGAAUUCCCAGUGUAGCGGUGAAAUGCGUAGAUAUUGGGAGGAACACCAGUGGCGAAGGCGACUUUCUGGACGAUAACUGACGCUGAGGCGCGAAAGCCAGGGAGUGAACG
rnacentral:rRNA from 1 species